UACGUAGGACCCAAGCGUUAUCCGGAGUGACUGGGCGUAAAGAGUUGCGUAGGCGGUUUGUUAAGCGAAUAGUGAAACCUGGUGGCUCAACCAUACAGACUAUUAUUCGAACUAGCAAACUCGAGAACAGUAGAGGUAACUGGAAUUUCUUGUGUAGGAGUGAAAUCCGUAGAUAUAAGAAGGAACACCAAUGGCGUAGGCAGGUUACUGGGCUGUUUCUGACGCUAAGGCACGAAAGCGUGGGGAGCGAACCGG
rnacentral:misc_RNA from 1 species